UGCACGCGCAGGGGAGUGGGGGCGUGGCAUUUUUUUGAGGAAAAAAAGCUAAACAAUCUUUAAUAUUUCAAAUUGACUGUGUCGGCUUUUUAAGUUGUCUCGGCUGGUGGAGAAGUCCAUACCUUAGAAUAGUGGUAACACACGGGGAUCCACUCAAGACAGGCCUGAAUGUAUUUUCUUCCAAAUUUCUGGACGAAAAGGUAUAGAAAGCGGGUAAUCUUUCUUUAGUCACCACUCCGGUCAGACGAUGAAUUCUAAACGUUUGCUUGACAUGUCUCCGGCUGAAAUACUGGUCGGGGGCGCUUCGAAACAAGCCGGUAUUGACCAGCAUGCAGAGGGUUCCAAGGGAAGCGAAAUGAGUGUCACCACUACUGACAGCGGUGUCAUUCUGGCGUGCGGGAGCGGGCCCGCAUCAGGAGCAGUUUUCUGCACAUUCGUGCUAGACGAUGGCACUUUGAGAGAAUGUACAAACCAGGACAUUAUCCUCAAUGGGAAUGACCUGUCGUCAGGGAAAGAAAAAUACGCGCACCGGAAAAUAAUGGGUUGUGGUGGCGAGGCAGAUGAGAGGAACAGUGGUCUGACUGGGGUCCUUACUAACGGCAGUCCCACUCACUGCCUGAUCCUGAACGGGCAGAAGCCGGACAGACACAUGCACUCGAAAGUGAGGAAUCCGCUGGUGCCCGAUGGUUUCCAGGAAACCGGACAUCAAGUGCCACCUGAGGAGAGAAAUUCCCACCCCUCCUCCCACAUACCUGUCCCCCGACGCAGGGAGCUGGACCAAUAUCAAAACCAGCCAGGUCACUC
rnacentral:lncRNA from 1 species